rnacentral:lncRNA from 1 species
CCAUGGUAGAACUAGAUGUACCAGGUUGAGAGGAAUGUUGUGGUGGUGCUCCACGAUCGAGAGAUUGGUCGGAUAUGGAAGUAACUAGGAAAAAAUUGCCACUGCGCUAGCGAUUUUGGAUGGGAAUUGGUGCUGUUUCCAGCGGUGUGGUGGGUAGCCGAUGGUCAAAGGUUGUAGAGGGAGGUGAGAGGGUGCCGGUGGUGUGUGGGUCAGGCGACUUAGGUGGCGGGUGGUGGUUGUUAUUGAUGGAAGGAGGCGGCGAAUCGGUAGCUUGAGAAAGCUAAAUAUUUUUGGGGAAAAUGGAAGGAGGCGGGAGUGAGAGUAAGAGUUCAAGUCCAAUUUUUUAGGUCCAUACAAAAUUUUAGGUUGGAAUUGAAACUUUCGAAUUUUCCGACGGAAUUUUUUGUUUGUUACUAUAUAAUACUUUUAAAAUUCUG